UACGUAGGGUCCGAGCGUUGUCCGGAUUUAUUGGGCGUAAAGAGCUCGUAGGCGGUUCCGUAAGUCAGAUGUGAAAACUCAGGGCUCAACCCGGAGACGCCAUCUGAUACUGCGGUGACUGGAGUCUGGUAGGGGAACACGGAAUUCCUGGUGUAGCGGUGAAAUGCGCAGAUAUCAGGAGGAACAUCAGUGGCGAAGGCGGCUUCCUGGACCAAUACUGACGAUCAGGUGCGAAAGCGUGGGGAGCAAACAGG
rnacentral:rRNA from 1 species